UAGGGAAUCUUCCGCAAUGGGCGAAAGCCUGCCGGAGCAACGCCGCGUGAGUGAUGAAGGUCUUCGGAUCGUAAAACUCUGUUAUUAGGGAAGAACAAAUGUGUAAGUAACUAUGCACGUCUUGACGGUACCUAAUCAGAAAGCCACGGCUAACUACGUGCCAGCAGCCGCGGUAAUACGUAGGUGGCAAGCGUUAUCCGGAAUUAUUGGGCGUAAAGCGCGCGUAGGCGGUUUUUUAAGUCUGAUGUAAAAGCCCACGGCUCAACCGUGGAGGGUCAUUGGAAACUGGAAAACUUGGGUGCAGAAGAGGAAAGUGGAAUUCCAUGUGUAGCGGUGAAAUGCGCAGAGAUAUGGAGGAACACCAGUGGCGAAGGCGACUUUCUGGUCGGUAACUGACGCUGAUGUGCAAAAGCGUGGGGAUCAAACAGG
rnacentral:rRNA from 1 species